rnacentral:rRNA from 1 species
CGGCAGCCCGAGUGGUGAUCACUAUUAUUGGGCCUAAAACGUCCGUAGCCUGUUUGGUAAAUGCUUGGGUAAAUCGUGUGGCUUAACCAUACGAAUACCGGGUAGACUGCCAGACUUGAGACCGGGAGAGGUUGGAGGUACUCCUGGGGUAGAGGUGAAAUUCUGUAAUCCUGGGGGGACCACCAGUGGCGAAGGCGUCCAACCAGAACGGGUCUGACGGUGAGGGACGAAGCCCUGGGGCGCAAACCGGAUUAGAGACCCGAGUAGUCC